UACGAAGGGUGCAAGCGUUACUCGGAAUUACUGGGCGUAAAGCGUGCGUAGGUGGUUUGUUAAGUCUGCUGUGAAAGCCCCGGGCUCAACCUGGGAAUGGCAGUGGAUACUGGCAAGCUAGAGUGCGGUAGAGGGGUGUGGAAUUCCCGGUGUAGCGGUGAAAUGCGUAGAGAUCGGGAGGAACACCAGUGGCGAGGGCGGCACCCUGGACCAGCACUGACACUGAGGCACGAAAGCGUGGGGAGCAAACAGG
rnacentral:rRNA from 1 species